UAACACAUGCAAGUCGAACGCAGUAGCAAUACUGAGUGGCAGACGGGUGAGUAACAUGUGGGAAUCUGCCUUGUGGUUCAGGACAACAUUGGGAAACCGAUGCUAAUACUGGAUAAGCCCUUACGGGGAAAGUUUUAAUGCCAUAAGAUGAGCCCGCACUUGAUUAGUUAGUUGGUGAGGUAAUGGCUCACCAAGACAAUGAUCAAUAGCUGAUCUGAGAGGAUGAUCAGCCACACUGGGACUGAGACACGGCCCAGACUCCUACGGGAGGCAGCAGUGGGGAAUCUUGCACAAUGGAGGAAACUCUGAUGCAGCGAUGCCGCGUGAGUGAAGAAGGCCUUUGGGUUGUAAAGCUCUUUUGUAGGGGAAGAUAAUGACUGUACCCUAAGAAUAAGGUCCGGCUAACUUCGUGCCAGCAGC
rnacentral:rRNA from 1 species